rnacentral:rRNA from 1 species
GAUGAACGCUGGCGGCGUGCCUAAUACAUGCAAGUCGAGCGAACAGACGAGGAGCUUGCUCCUCUAACGUUAGCGGCGGACGGGUGAGUAACACGUGGAUAACCUACCUAUAAGACUGGGAUAACUUCGGGAAACCGGAGCUAAUACCGGAUAAUAUAUUGAACCGCAUGGUUCAAUAGUGAAAGACGGUUUUGCUGUCACUUAUAGAUGGAUCCGCGCCGCAUUAGCUAGUUGGUAAGGUAACAGCUUACCAAGGCAACGAUGCGUAGCCGACCUGAGAGGGUGAUCGGCCACACUGGAACUGAGACACGGUCCAGACUCCUACGGGAGGCAGCAGUAGGGAAUCUUCGGCAAUGGGCGAAAGCCUGACGGAGCAACGCCGCGUGAGUGAUGAAGGUCUUCGGAUCGUAAAACUCUGUUAUUAGGGAAGAACAAAUGUGUAAGUAACUAUGCACGUCUUGACGGUACCUAAUCAGAAAGCCACGGCUAACUACGUG